rnacentral:rRNA from 1 species
UACGAAGGGGGCUAGCGUUGUUCGGAAUUACUGGGCGUAAAGGGCGCGUAGGCGGUGCCUCAAGUCAGGCGUGAAAGCCCCGAGCUUAACUUGGGAAUUGCGCUUGUGACUGGCGAGCUGGAGUGUGGCAGAGGGAGGUGGAAUUCCACGUGUAGCAGUGAAAUGCGUAGAGAUGUGGAGGAACACCGAUGGCGAAGGCAGCCUCCUGGGCCAGCACUGACGCUCAUGCACGAAAGCGUGGGGAGCAAACAGG